UACAGAGGGUGCAAGCGUUAAUCGGAAUUACUGGGCGUAAAGCGCGCGUAGGUGGUUUGUUAAGUUGGAUGUGAAAUCCCCGGGCUCAACCUGGGAACUGCAUCCAAAACUGGCAAGCUAGAGUAUGGUAGAGGGUGGUGGAAUUUCCUGUGUAGCGGUGAAAUGCGUAGAUAUAGGAAGGAACACCAGUGGCGAAGGCGACCACCUGGACUGAUACUGACACUGAGGUGCGAAAGCGUGGGGAGCGAACUGG
rnacentral:rRNA from 1 species